AUCUUAGUAUAAGUAUGUUCCAUGAAAUACCUGGGACAUACUUAUACUAAAU
rnacentral:pre_miRNA from 1 species